CAAUUCGGCAUUCAGCAAAAUACAACGUAGAACAUAGAACUUUUAUGAACAAAAUGAAUAAAAAUACACCAUGCUAUAUGCCUAAUAUAAAAUAAGAAAUAACUUACACAAAGUUUAGGUAUACAGAACUGAAGUUCAGUAAACACUGUGAAACCAAAUUAAUAACAAAAUAAACGUAUGUUAUUAGCAAAAUGAAUAAGAAAGCUGGGUGACAUGGCAUGUAAAAAAAAAAAUACACAGUUUAAAUAAAUAAAAAUCAACAAACACUUUGGAGCCAAAUAAGUAAGAAAUGAAUGUUUAAAAACUCCUAAUAUCACCUUAGAUAAAUGGAAGAAGUCAACAGGCUUUUCAAAAUCCAAAAUAUUUUUCUCACCUCACUCUUCUUGUCAGCUUCUCCUCAUGUGACUGUCGGCAUGCUGCAUUGAGCAGCCGCAUUCAGUUUUAAUUGUAGUGUCUGUUCUCUAACUGAACUAAAUUAUUUUUAUGACUAUAAAAUAUCAAAACGACGGUGGGGGCGGUGACAUUGGGCAAGUGACAUAACCGGUGUUGCGGCUUCACACCGGUAAAACGUCAACUCCCUCUAACGCAGCAACCCUAGUUGACACCAGCUCAUCUGUGUCAGAGGGAAGACAGAGACCAGAAAACCAGAAGAGAAAUUAGACUAAGUCAAGACUGAGACCAGAAGAGAGAUUAGUCUGAGUCAAGACUGAGACCAGAAGAGGGCUGAGUUCAGUAUCAAGACCAGAAGAAGGUUUAAUUUGAGUCAAGACCGAGACCAAAAGAGGGUCAAGUUUGUGUCAAGCCUGAGAUCAGAAGAAGGUUUAGUUUGGUCUCAAGACAGAGACCUGAAAAGGGAUGAGUCUGAGUCUGGACUGAGACCAGAAAAGGGUUUAGUCUGAGUCAAGACUGAAACCAGAAAAAGUUUGAGUUUGAGUCAAGAAUGAGAACAGAAGAGAGAUGAGUCAAAUUCAUGAUUGACCAGAAGAGGGUUGAGCCUGAGUCUGGACUGAGACCAGAAGAGAGACGAGUCUUAAUCUGGACUGAGACCAGUAGAGAGAUGAGUCUGAGUCAAGACUGAGACCAGAAGAGAAAUGAGUCUGAAUCUGGACUGAGACCAGAAGAGGGCUGAGUUCAGUCUCAAGACCAGAAGAAGGUUUAAUUUGAGUCAAGACUGAGACCAGAAGAGAGAUAUGUCUGAGUCUAGACUGAGACCAGACGAGGGUUAAGGUUGAGUCAAGACUGAGACCAGAAGAAGGUUCAGUUUGGUCUCAAGACAGAGACCUGAAAAAGGAUGAGUCUGAGUCUGGACUGAGAACAGAAGAGGGUUGUGUCUGAGUCUGGACUGCGACCAGAAGAGGGUUGAGUCUGAGUCAAAACCAGUAGAGAGAUGAGUCUGAAUCAAGACUGAGACCAGAAGAGAGAGGAGUUUGUAUCUGGACUGAGAUCAGAAGAGGUUUGAGUUUGAGUCAAGAACCGGACCAGAAGAAGGUUCAGUUUGGUCUCAAGACAGAGACCAGAAAAGGGAUGAGUCUGAGUCAUGACUGAGACCAGAAGAGGGUUGAGCUAGAGUCAAGAUUGAGGCCAGAAGAGAGAUGAGUCUAAAUCUAGACUGUGACCAGAAGAGAGAUGAGUCUGAGUCCAGACUUAGACAAAAAAAGGUUGAGUUCGAUCUCAAGACUGAGACCAGAAGAAGGUUGAAUUAAAAUCAAGACAGAAUCCACAUGGUUACGGCUCCAUGACAGGGCUAACAUGAAACAUGAAAACAUUAAAAUAUGGUUGAGGUCUUGUCAUGGACUUGAGUACUCAUGGACUAGGACUCAACCCAUUUUUAGUGAAUUCAGAUUUGUUUGCUAUCUGUUCAUUUACAUCAUAACCUAAUGAAUCACUCAUACUUUACAUUUCGUUCAAAGUACACUUUUUACUUUUUUAUUUAUCAAUUCUUGCUUUCCCUGGGAAUCAAACCCAUGACCUUGGUGUUGCUAGUGCCAUGCUCAAAUGUUUGAGGACUUUUCCUAACAUAAAGCCAUUAUUUCUUUGGAAGACUUACAGCACAUAAGUAAUAUGGACCACCUUUAUAAUUCUUUAUAGUUUUGUUCCAUUUUUUAAGCUUAAAAUCUCUCCGUUCAUUGAAAAAUCUCCAUUUGUGUUUUGU
ensembl:lncRNA